CCAAUAGCGUAUAUUAAAGUUGUUGCAGUUCAAAAGCUCGUAGUUGAAUUUCGGAAUCGACGGAUUGGUCGCGCCUUCGGUGUGUACUGGUCUUGCCGGUUUCUCCCUUCUGACGAACCACGAUGUCAUUAAUUUGGUGUCGUGGGAAAUCAGGACUGUUACUUUGAGAAAAUUAGAGUGUUUAAAGCAGGCAUUAGCUUGAAUACAUUAGCAUGGAAUAAUGAAAUAGGACGUUUGAUCUUAUUUUGUUGGUUUCUAGGAUCGACGUAAUGAUUAAUAGGAAUAGUUGGGGGCAUUAGUAUUCAAUUGUCAGAGGUGAAAUUCUUGGAUUUAUUGAAGACUAACUACUGCGAAAGCAUUUGCCAAGGAUGUUUUCAUUAAUCAAGAACGAAAGUUAGGGGAUCGAAGACGAUCAGAUACCGUCGUAGUCUUAACCAUAAACUAUGCCGACUAGGGAUCGGAUGAUGUUAAUUUUUUAAUGACUCAUUCGGCGCCUUACG
rnacentral:rRNA from 1 species